rnacentral:misc_RNA from 1 species
GUAUUGUAUUGCGUUAGACGCGAUGUACAUUCCAUAAAACUUUAUUACAGUGUGUGUGUAAAGACGUAGAACCACAGAAGGAAGACAGGGUCCCCCAAACCAUAGAACUACAGAGGGUGCACAGGUGUGAGUGGAUGUGUAAACAGAGCGUGCACAUGCCCCCAUACAGGGGCCAGCAACAACCCUUGUUGACAAUUCGGUAAUGAUCCUUCCGCAGGUUCACCUACGGAAA